GUGAAGUGGACAGCCCCUGAGGUUCUAUUUGGGGAUAUUGCAAAGCUUUCCAGCAAAAGUGAUGUGUGGUCGUAUGGAGUCGUGCUCUAUGAGAUAUUCACCAUGGAUAUCAUUUGAUGAACACUUGCUGGCAUGAGGAGCC